GGGAUAACGUUCUGAGAAGAACGCUAAUACCGCAUAACAUCAAUUUAUCGCAUGAUAGGUUGAUCAAAGGAGCAAUCCGCUGGAAGAUGGACUCGCGUCCGAUUAGCCAGUUGGCGGGGUAACGGCCCACCAAAGCGACGAUCGGUAGCCGGACUGAGAGGUUGAACGGCCACAUUGGGACUGAGACACGGCCCAGACUCCUACGGGAGGCAGCAGUGGGGGAUAUUGCACAAUGGGGGAAACCCUGAUGCAGCAACGCCGCGUGAGGGAAGAAGGUUUUCGGAUUGUAAACCUCUGUUCUUAGUGACGAUAAUGACGGUAGCUAAGGAGAAAGCUCCGGCUAACUACGUGCCAGCAGCCGCGGUAAUACGUAGGGAGCGAGCGUUGUCCGGAUUUACCGGGUGUAAAGGGUGCGUAGGCGGCGAGGCAAGUCAGGCGUGAAAUCUAUGGGCUUAACCCAUAAACUGCGCUUGAAACUGUCUUGCUUGAGUGAAGUAGAGGUAGGCGGAAUUCCCGGUGUAGCGGUGAAAUGCGUAGAGAUCGGGAGGAACACCAGUGGCGAAGGCGGCCUACUGGGCUUUAACUGACGCUGAAGCACGAAAGCAUGGGUAGCAAACAGGAUUAGAUACCCUGGUAGUCCAUGCCGUAA
rnacentral:rRNA from 1 species